rnacentral:lncRNA from 1 species
AUCAGUCGAGCCCUAGAUCUCAGAAAAGGGGAAAUCGCCCAGUUCGAGCGUUUGCUGCUCCGGGCCACGACGCCGGCCGUUCUCUCUCGGCCAUGGUUCCAGUUGGCCUCAGUGAUUAUCCAGCUCCGACGCCCUGAAUUUCUGGCGAGUCGCCGCUGCUGUCACGCCCUUGUCUCGAAUCCGGCGAGUCAGCCGGCGAUGGUCGUACUCGCCUCUCCUCUCGUCUCAACCAUGAAAGGGAAGCAAAGCCCUAACUCUUUCCCUGAAGUUCAAACUGAUUUUCUCCCUUAAUAAUCGAUCGACUCCUACUGCUCAAAACCGGUCUGCGUCGUUGCUGCUACGUUCCUCCCGGCGGCAGGUGAAGGCCCGCCGAUCCGCUGCUGUUGCCGGAGUUUAAUGGAGCAGUAAGUGUUUGCCGUCGCCAUCUUCUUUUCCCGUUCGGCAGUAGGUGGUUCGCUGCCCCUUGGGCAGCCGACCCUUCCCUCCUUUAAAGCUAAGUAACUCCCUCUCAAUCCAUUUAAUCGAUUCUUAAUCAGACAAGCAAGGUGAAAUCUUCUUGUUUUGCUUACAUCUCAAAUUAUGGUCGUUUAAAACUUCAUAUGAAUUGUCACUUGCUCAUAAAAGCGUAGUUGGCGUAAUUACUAAGUUCCAGAUACUAUAAGGUCUUCUAUGAUUGAACUGAUCAUGCCCAUGCUUUAAUAUGAAUGUUUACUGGAAAUGAUAUUUGAGAUUGUGAAUUACCUUGCGAAUGUUUUGGGCUUGGUUGGCUGCUGUGAUGUUGAGUUAAAAGAAC